UAGCACAGAGAGGUUUUGCAACAAUCUGAGGUGUUUGAGAAAAGUGUUAAAUUAGUUUGUGCAAAUGCUUGCUAUUUCACUGCAGAUUAACCAGGCUGUGUGCAAUGUGGACAUAUAUUCUGGAAAUGGCAUAAAUUAUCCCACUUCGUUUGCCUUCUCUGUUGCUUGGUGAGACUGACCCUACUUGGAAAAACUUCAGAUUGGGCCAAACAAGGGUAUUCUUUGGGCUGAAAGAAUGUCCCUGAAAACUCUGAUUUUAUAUACAGCAGAAUGGAAUAACAGCAAACAACAUUGGAGGAGGACUUGUCUGGGAGAGCAGCCAUUUUAAAGAAGAGCACAUUAAGUCACAAACAGUCGCAGCUGAUCUACUUUGCAGCAUCGCCAUACAUGCCUAACUAAAUAUUGAAAUCCCGGGAAAAACUCACUGUGCAUCAUGUUCCAGAAACUAGCUUUGCAAACAGUCUUUUCAGAUGUGUACAUUUUGUGUAUUUGAGGCAUAUAAUAUAUAUAUUUUCCUCCAUGUUCACCCAA
rnacentral:lncRNA from 1 species